rnacentral:sRNA from 1 species
AGCUCGGGAGGUCCAGGGUGCAGAGGCCAUGUCCAGGGAGGCAGCAGAAAUCUGCUUUGGUGAAAUCUGUCUUGGGGAAAUCUGCCUCGGGGUUGCUGCUUUCAAAGCCGUAGCUGCAGAAGAACUUUCCUCAGACGACACGUGACUGACGUGAGACCCGCCCACGGCCGUGCCUAGAAGCCAUCUCAUACCACCUCUCCUGCAGCCCGUUCUGAAGAGCAGCCGCAAGCUGGAUUCGUUCCAGGACAGGACAGGCCGCGCAAGGAAACCUGGACAGCUGGCCUGGGAGCCGGGGCGAGUGGGCACAGAGGUGUGGCCUGCAGGGCUGCUGUGGGCCGGAGGACAAGAGAUUAGGUGCCACCAGAGGGUGGGAGCACAAGGCAUCUGGGUCACAGGCCCCAGUUCCACCCCCUGAAGCACGGAUUUGAUGAGUGGUUUGGAUCCCCCAACUGCCACUUUGGACCUUAUGACAACAAGGCCAGGCCCAACAUCCCUGUGUACAGGGACUGGGAGAUGGUUGGCAGAUAUUAUGAAGAAUUUCCUAUUAAUCU